rnacentral:rRNA from 1 species
GACGAACGCUGGCGGCGUGCUUAACACAUGCAAGUCGAACGGAAAGGCCCUGCUUUUGUGGGGUGCUCGAGUGGCGAACGGGUGAGUAACACGUGAGUAACCUGCCCUUGACUUUGGGAUAACUUCAGGAAACUGGGGCUAAUACCGGAUAGGAGCUCCUGCUGCAUGGUGGGGGUUGGAAAGUUUCGGCGGUUGGGGAUGGACUCGCGGCUUAUCAGCUUGUUGGUGGGGUAGUGGCUUACCAAGGCUUUGACGGGUAGCCGGCCUGAGAGGGUGACCGGCCACAUUAGGACUAAGAUACGGCCCAGACUCCUACGGGAGGCAGCAGUGGGGAGUAUUGCACAAUGGGCGGAAGCCUGAUGCAGCAACGCCGCGUUCGGGAUGACGGCCUUCGGGUUGUAAACCGCUUUCGCCUGUGACGAAGCGUGAGUGACGGUAAUGGGUAAAGAAGCACCGGCUAACUACGUG